CACAUUGUGUGGUCAGUUCGCGUUGGUUCGCGUAGAACCUGUGCGCGUUGUAUCUGUUCCCAGUGAAGUGCAAAUUGUGAUGAGCCAUUUUAAUUAUGGAGGUGCACGACAAGGGAAGGCUAAUUUGCACACUGAAUAUAGCUGCGUCGUGUCUUUUUCGUGUGCGCGAGGCUUGUGACCGUGAGUAGCGCGAUGGGAUAUCUUCAGCUACACGUCGAUCUGAAAAAGUUACUACGGGCCGAAAACGGGAUAAUAUCCGGACCUCGAAGAAAACCUUGCAGACUUUCUUAAACAACUCUGCAUAUAAUGACUGUCAAGGGAACAGCACAUGACCAAGGCGUAUCCAGAAGUGAUCUUAGAGCCAGCAAAACAGGCUCACGGAAGAAAAGGAACUGCCAGGACAAUAAGUUUUAUAUUCUUUGAAGGAAAAUUGUGCUUGCUUGUCUCUCUCUCUUUUUGUAAUCGUAAACAUAGGAGCGUGCUACAGUUUUAUCAUUAAGAUGUGGUAACAAUAUCUUAAUGAGAAUUUUUAUUUUUGAAAAUUGUGUUUGUUUGUCUCUCUCUCUCUUUUUGUAAUCGUAAGCUUAGGAGCGUGCUACAGUUUUAUUACGAUGUGGUAGCAAUAUCUUAAUGAGAAUUUUAAUUUUUGAACCAGCAAAAUCAGGUGCUCGCAAGAUUCGUGUAAAUACUCUACCUGAAGGCAUAGUUUUUUUCAAGCUGAACUAAAUAAAUGCUUUUUCUUGUCUUUUUGCACCCAUUGUAAGUCUAUACCAUUCAGUGUUUCCAAGUAACAUAUUUGGAUGCACUUGACCAGUUAGCAUGUCUCUUUUUGGGGGCACUUCUGAUUAGCCGAACAGAUGACUGCGGUCCCUUAGAGGUCGUUUUAACGGGAGUCUACUGUAUACUGUACAUCUAGCUUAUGAUGAGACACUGCAGUCAACCAUGCAGCCUCUGAAGCAGGCUGACCUGCACUGGCACGAGCAGUUUUUGACCAUCACCCUAAAUAUUCAUGAUGUGCAAAGACAUAUUGAAAUGCGCCUUAUGGGAAGGAGCUCCACUCUCUUUGCAACGCAUCUUGAUGUGGUCUACAUAAAUGAGCUUAUGUUUUAAUUCUUCAUGUUUAUAGGGUGCUGCGGUUAACACUUGUUAUGUCGCGCACAGCCAUCUGAUAAAGGAUAAAAACAAAGUUGGGUACAAUAUUCUCACACCAAUACCCUUUAAAUAUUGAGAAACUUGUUAAGUUCUUAUUGGUCCCUUUGAAAUGGAUGCUGUAACGUGAGUUUCACAACGAGAUUCUUACUAUUUAAUUUUUUUUCACAGGAACCAUCUUUUCUGACAAAUGUUAUGUGGCCUGUGAGCAGGAACUGUUUUGCGAAGCAUCCAAUUUCACCGAGGCAGUCUGCGUAAUGUUCCUGACUUACUAUGCUUUCAACAUGAUGUACCCGAACAAUGCUGCGACAACACUGGAAUUCUUGCAAAGGCAGCUGUUCCUCAUCAAUCCACCAAGCGGUACAAAGCGGGAAGGGGGACAGCGGUCAAGGACGGUGGUUAAUUCGAGAAUUAUGAAGCUGAACCAUGUGCUUCGAGCAAACGUCUCACCCGAGCAGCUGGACUCUGACCAGUGAACACAGUGCACAAUACUGCACAUUAUUGUUACGGGCACCACGGGAAUGUGGAAAUAGUACAAAUGCCACGAUUAUUUACAAGUUUCCAUUAUACAUUGUAUUUCGCAUUCUAGAUCUAUAAGAUAUUGAGAUCA